rnacentral:lncRNA from 1 species
CAUUCAUCCCACUUCAGCCUCCCGUGUAGCCGGGACUACAGUGAAGUCAUCUUAACAUGGAAUGGGAAUUAAAUCCUAACAACAAUCAUGUGAGCCUGGGGAGGAUCCUUCCCCACGUGAGCCUUCAGGGGAGACUUCAGCCUUGGCCAUCUUCUACAUCUAGAUUCCUGACCAAGAGAAGCUCAAGUGGUGGGAAAACCUGGAGAUGCAGCCCCGGGUGCCUCCUGCCUUGCUGUAGAAGAUGCUGUGGACAUGGGUCUCCUCCUCCAGACAAUGCACAUCAAAGGCAGGACCAGCAGGGAGCCCUGAGAUCAGAACCUCUCUGUGGGGUCUGCAUGCACAAGGGGAGGAGCUCCCUGUUGGGUGGGGUGGGGAAUUCAGUUAUUUUAUAUAAGCAUGAAUUUGUUAAAUAAUCAUUCUUCUUUCUGACCAAUGGCACAUUUCCCCUUCAGUCCUGGCACUGUAAUGUUACAUCUUGGUUUUUGGUUUUGUGUACAAAUGUGUUUAACACUGUGUAUUAAACACAAGGAAACACUCUUUUGUUGGUCACAUAGCCAUCAUGUACAACCAAAUUUAUACUUUUGUAUUUUUCCAAAACAAACAUCCCUGGGUGUUUCGUGCACACACACAGACAACUCACUAGACAAGGUUUACCUCCUCCAGACCACGCCUAUCCAAGACAGUGCCUAAGUAGAGGCAGGAGAGUUGAGCCUGUCUCUGUGGUAUCUUCAUGGGAAACACCAACAUUUUCUUGCUCUACUUCUGGUGUUGGUUGGGGAAUUCGGUUAUUUCUUGGAAAGACUGAGUGUGUCAAAGAAUCAUUCUGUUUGCUGUCUGAAAACAAAUGACACAGUAUUUGUUUUGAACAAAUGAAACAGUGUUUGUUUUGGUGUGCAAAGGCCUUUGACCCU